GAUGAACGCUGGCGGCGUGCCUAAUACAUGCAAGUCGAGCGAACAGACGAGGAGCUUGCUCCUCUGACGUUAGCGGCGGACGGGUGAGUAACACGUGGAUAACCUACCUAUAUUUCUGGGAUAACUUCGGGAAACCGGUGCUAAUACCGGAUAAUAUAUUGAACCGCAUGGUUCAAUAGUGAAAGACGGCUUUGCUGUCUCUUAUAGAUGGAUCCGCGCCGGAUUAGCUAGUUGGUAAGGUAACGGCUUACCAAGGCAACGAUGCGUAGCCGACCUGAGAGGGUGAUCGGCCACACUGGAACUGAGACACGGUCCAGACUCCUACGGGAGGCAGCAGUAGGGAAUCUUCCGCAAUGGGCGAAAGCCUGACGGAGCAACGCCGCGUGAGUGAUGAAGGUCUUCGGAUCGUAAAGCUCUGUUAUUAGGGAAGAACAAAUGUGUAAGUAACUAUGCACGUCUUGACGGUACCUAAUCAGAAAGCAACGGCUAACUACGUG
rnacentral:rRNA from 1 species